GUCUAUGGCCAUACCACCCUGAACGCGCCCGAUCUCGUCUGAUCUCGGAAGUUCGGUGUCUGCCAGUUCCAUUUCCCACUGAAGUGCAAAGACC
rnacentral:rRNA from 1 species